CCAAAAAAAAAAAAAAUUAAUAAAGCCGAAAAAAUACCCCAAAAAAAUUAAAAAAAUUCGCAUA
rnacentral:rRNA from 1 species